GGCGGUUUGGCCGAGUGGUUAAGGCGAUUGAGUACGUUUCUCUUGCAUAAUAUACCCCAAAAAAUCUUACUAACCCCAUCUCUAGCUCGAAAUCAAUUCCAUUCGUGGGCGCAUGUUCGAAUCAUGCAGCCGUCG
rnacentral:tRNA from 1 species